rnacentral:rRNA from 1 species
AGUGAACGCUGGCGGUAGGCCUAACACAUGCAAGUCGAACGGCAGCACAGUAAGAGCUUGCUCUUACGGGUGGCGAGUGGCGGACGGGUGAGGAAUACAUCGGAAUCUACUUUUUCGUGGGGGAUAACGUAGGGAAACUUACGCUAAUACCGCAUACGACCUACGGGUGAAAGCAGGGGAUCUUCGGACCUUGCGCGAUUGAAUGAGCCGAUGUCGGAUUAGCUAGUUGGCGGGGUAAAGGCCCACCAAGGCGACGAUCCGUAGCUGGUCUGAGAGGAUGAUCAGCCACACUGGAACUGAGACACGGUCCAGACUCCUUCGGGAGGCAGCAGUGGGGAAUAUUGGACAAUGGGCGCAAGCCUGAUCCAGCCAUACCGCGUGGGUGAAGAAGGCCUUCGGGUUGUAAAGCCCUUUUGUUGGGAAAGAAAAGCAGCAGGUUAAUACCCCGCUGUUCUGACGGUACCCAAGGAAUAAGCACCGGCUAACUUCGUG